UUUCCGUAGGUGAACCUGCGGAAGGAUCAUUCAUAAUAAGUGUUUUAUGGCACUUUUUAAAUCCAUAUCCACUUUGUGUGCAAUGUCUGUCGUUCUCUUCUAUGGGAACGACCAAACAUCAACCAACUCUUUAACUCUUUGUCUGAAAAAUAUUACGAACAAAAUAAUUCAAAAUACAACUUUCAACAACGGAUCUCUUGGCUCUC
rnacentral:misc_RNA from 1 species